rnacentral:rRNA from 1 species
GACGAACGCUGGCGGCGUGCUUAACACAUGCAAGUCGAACGCUGAAGCUUUGUUCUUGCACUGGGUUGAUGAGUGGCGAACGGGUGAGUAAUACGUGAGUAACCUGCCCUUGACUCUGGUAUAAGCCUGGGAAACUGGGUCUAAUCCUGUUUAUGACAUUCCACUGCAUGGUGGUUUGUGGAAAGGGUUUUACUGGUUUUGGAUGGGCUCACGGCCUAUCAGCUUGUUGGUGGGGUAAUGGCCUACCAAGGCGACGACGGGUAGCCGGCCUGAGAGGGUGACCGGCCACACUGGGACUGAGACACGGCCCAGACUCCUACGGGAGGCAGCAGUGGGGAAUAUUGCACAAUGGGCGGAAGCCUGAUGCAGCGACGCCGCGUGAGGGAUGACGGCCUUCGGGUUGUAAACCUCUUUCAGCACGGAAGAAGCGAGAGUGACGGUACGUGCAGAAGAAGCGCCGGCUAACUACGUG